GGGGAGGCAGCAGUGGGGAAUAUUGCACAAUGGGGGAAACCCUGAUGCAGCGACGCCGCGUGGAGGAAGAAGGUCUUCGGAUUGUAAGCUCCUGUUGUUGAGGAAGAUAAUGACGGUACUCAACAAGGAAGUGACGGCUAACUACGUGCCAGCAGCCGCGGUAAAACGUAGGUCACAAGCGUUGUCCGGAAUUACUGGGUGUAAAGGGAGCGCAGGCGGGAAGACAAGUUGGAAGUGAAAUCUAUGGGCUCAACCCAUAAACUGCUUUCAAAACUGUUUUUCUUGAGUAGUGCAGAGGUAGGCGGAAUUCCCGGUGUAGCGGUGGAAUGCGUAGAUAUCGGGAGGAACACCAGUGGCGAAGGCGGCCUACUGGGCACCAACUGACGCUGAGGCUCGAAAGUGUGGGUAGCAAACAGGAUUAGAUACCCUGGUAGUCCACACCGUAAACGAUGAUUACUAGGUGUUGGAGGAUUGACCCCUUCAGUGCCGCAGUUAACACAAUAAGUAAUCCACCUGGGGAGUACGACCGCAAGGUUGCAACUCAAAUAAAGU
rnacentral:rRNA from 1 species